CCCUGAGUGGUGGUCCCCACGGGCCUGGAGCUGAGGCCCUGCACUUGGCUACUGGGAGAGGAUAAUUCAACCUGUGUGGCUCUCUGCUUCUAAGAGGAGAAUCCCUCCCACCCUUUUUACCCAGGAGCUUGCUGAGCCUGACCACAAGUCCUCGGGCCUUAGAAGCCUGGCUGGGCAGCCAACCCCACUGCUUGGAGCUCCACAUGGUCUGGAACUGCAGGAGGAAGAAAGCAUCUACUCCACAAAGGAAAAAGGAAAACCCAUAGAAAUGGAAUGUAGAAAAUGAAAUAAAAAGAGAAGCCACAACCCUU